UACGUAGGGUGCGAGCGUUAAUCGGAAUUACUGGGCGUAAAGCGUGCGCAGGCGGUUCGCCAAGUCAGGUGUGAAAUCCCCGGGCUUAACCUGGGAAUUGCGCUUGAAACUAGCGGGCUUGAGUGCGGCAGAGGGGGGUGGAAUUCCACGUGUAGCAGUGAAAUGCGUAGAGAUGUGGAGGAACACCGAUGGCGAAGGCAGCCCCCUGGGCUGACACUGACGCUCAGGCACGAAAGCGUGGGGAGCAAACAGG
rnacentral:rRNA from 1 species